CAAAAAAAGUAUUUUCUUGUAUUAAAUAUUUUAUUUAUUAAUAUUUUUACCGAGGCCAUUGCGGCAAAGUGUCCUUACGGAGAUGUGGUUCUUUGUGGAAGUGACGGAUUCACUUACAAUAAUCUUUGUGAUUUUCAAACGGUCCAAUCUUUCCGACCAAACCUAGAACUGGAAUAUUUAGGUGCUUGCCAAAUAGAAGGUUGCUUAUUGAAAUCUUAUAUAAACCAAUUAGAUAAAAGUUACUUAAGGAACAGUAAACAAAACGUCGGUAAAGCACUAAAGACAUCCAAACUAGUAUUAGAAAUUUUAUCACAUAUCGUAGAUGCACAAAGUAAAUUGAGUGGCUUCCACAGAAUUGGUAACCAUAAGAUACGAUAAUAAUGCAUGCUGAACAAGAUUCUCAUCAGAACUAACGCAUUGCAAUUCUUAAAAAACUAUUUAAUAAUAUUUAAAGAAAAUUUAUUUUUAGCCAAUGUUUACCUUCCCCUGGUAUCUUAAUAUAUAUAGCUGAUUUUACUGAAACAAAACACUAGUAAAAUGCGACAAAAUAAUCGGUUUAUUUGUUGUCUGUGACCGUUGACAUUGAAGUAAAAUGUUAGAGAUUGAAAAAUAUUAAGUUCUGUUAUCAAUUGGUAUUUUACUUUUAAUCGUACUAUGUAUGUUAAAAAUAACUAAUCAAUCUCACUUAGUACCCAUUACAUAUCUACCACAAUAAAAUGAAUACCUGUAAAAAUUAACGUAUUUUUCAAUUUAACAAAAUUAUAUGCUAGUAAUGUUACCGUGACAAUGAUUAAACUGGCAAUUGAUAAAAAUAUUUCAAAUAAAUUUAACGUAGAUAUAACUAAAACUUAAUUUAUAGCAAGGAGUAGCAUUUCUAAAAAAAAUUGUCUCCUCAAUUACCAAUGUACUAUUCUGACAUUCAUUAAAUUGUGGCCUAUUGUUUCGAAGGAUUUUAAACGUGGAUGGUAUGGAAGAUGAGAUAAUUAAAUUUUAUUUUAAACUAC